rnacentral:rRNA from 1 species
AUUGAACGCUGGCGGCAGGCCUAACACAUGCAAGUCGAGCGAGCGGCGGACGGGGGAGUAAUGUAUGGGGACUGCCCGAUAGAGGGGGAUAACUACAGGAAACGGUAGCUAAUACCGCAUACUAUCGGAUAACCCAUAUUGGAUUAGCUAGUGGGUGAGGCAAUGGCUCACCUAGGCGACGAGCCCUAGCUGGUAUGAGAGGAUGAUCAGCCACACUGGGACUGUGACAGGGCCCGGCCUCCACCGGAGGCAGCAUUGGGGAAUUUGCGACAAUGGGCGCAAGCCUGAUGCAGCCCUGCCGGGUGUCUGAAGCAGGCCCUAGGGUUUUAAAGUACUUUCAGCCGGACGGCGUUACCGGCAGAAGAAGCACCGGCUAACUCCGUGCCAGCAGCCGCGGUAAUUC